UACGGAGGGUGCAAGCGUUAUCCGGAUUCACUGGGUUUAAAGGGUGCGUAGGCGGCCUGACAAGUCUGAUGUGAAAUCCCUGGGCUCAACCCAGGGCCUGCAUCGGAAACUGUCGGGCUUGAGUAUGGGAGAGGUGAGUGGAAUUUCCGGUGUAGCGGUGAAAUGCGUAGAGUAUCGGAAGGAACACCUGUGGCGAAAGCGGCUCACUGGACCAUUACUGACGCUGAGGCACGAAAGCUAGGGGAGCAAACAGG
rnacentral:rRNA from 1 species